AUAGAGACUCAGAGCUGCAUAUCAAUAAGCGGAGGAAAAGAAACUAACAAGGAUUCCCUUAGUAACGGCGAGUGAAGCGGGAAGAGCUCAAAUUUGAAAUCUUCAAGGUUUUACCUUGACGAAUUGUAGUUUUAAGAAGUGUUUUCUGUUGAAGUUUCGGUAAAAGUUCUUUGGAAUAGGACAUCAUAGAGGGUGAGAAUCCCGUAUUUGACCGUUAUUUUCAGCUGUGUGAUACACUUUCAAAGAGUCGGAUUGUUUGGGAAUGCAGUCCAAAAUGGGUGGUAAAUUUCAUCUAAAGCUAAAUAUUGGCGAGAGACCGAUAGCGAACAAGUACCGUGAGGGAAAGAUGAAAAGAACUUUGAAAAGAGAGUUAAACAGUACGUGAAAUUGUCAAAAGGGAAGCGUUUGACACCAGUGUUGUUUUUCCGAAAAUCAAUUAAGAAUGGCCGGAUUUUAAGUUUCAUGACCUUAAAAGCUUGUUUCUUAUUUUUCUUGUCUUUCUUAAUGCACUUUUCGGUUAACAAGUCAACAUCAAUUUCUUUUGCUUGUAAAAGGGUAUGAGGAAGGUGGCUUUAUCUUCGGAGUAAAGUGUUUAUAGCCUUGUAGCCUCUGCAAUCGGAGAGAUUGAGGUCUGCAGCGUAGAUCCUUCGGGGUUAGAUACGUUUGUGCUAAGUUAUAGCUUUUCAUAGACAACUUGUUGACUAUAGUUUAGUCUUGUAGGCUUACUCGCUGACUGCUAUUUUACCUACGCUUAGGAUGUUGAUAGUCACAGCGUGUAC
rnacentral:rRNA from 1 species